rnacentral:rRNA from 1 species
AUUGAACGCUGGCGGCAGGCCUAACACAUGCAAGUCGAGCGGAUGAGGGGUGCUUGCACCCCGAUUCAGCGGCGGACGGGUGAGUAAUGCCUAGGAAUCUGCCCGAUAGUGGGGGACAACGUUUCGAAAGGAACGCUAAUACCGCAUACGUCCUACGGGAGAAAGUGGGGGCUCUUCGGACCUCACGCUAUCGGAUGAGCCUAGGUCGGAUUAGCUAGUUGGUGGGGUAAAGGCUCACCAAGGCGACGAUCCGUAACUGGUCUGAGAGGAUGAUCAGUCACACUGGAACUGAGACACGGUCCAGACUCCUACGGGAGGCAGCAGUGGGGAAUAUUGGACAAUGGGCGAAAGCCUGAUCCAGCCAUGCCGCGUGUGUGAAGAAGGUCUUCGGAUUGUAAAGCACUUUAAGUCGGGAGGAAGGGCUGCAGGUUAAUACCUUGCAGCCUUGACGUUACCGACAGAAUAAGCACCGGCUAACUUCGUGCCAGCAGCCGCUGUAACAC